AGCAGGAAAUGGCGGGCGCGAGGGCCUGACGCGAAGACGUGACCCGAGUCCGAAGUCUCUGGAGCCCACAAGGCGCCUUCGUGUGGCAAGUUAAUAAGGCAGCCUUUCCGGGAAGAGGAAGCCGUAGUGAUAACAGCCGACAGCGCGGACCAGCGACUCUGCAAGGAGGACCCGCACUCUGCUAGCCCGCGACUUCGCCACGAAAACGAGGCAGCGGCGGCCGCCGAGGAAGAAGUGGGCGAGCCGGUAACAGCGGGAACCCUCUCAGCAAUCUGCGGCCUGGCCAAACGGAGCCGGACAGCGGCGGCGAUCAGGUACCCU